GACGGAGGGCGCAAGCGUUGUCCGGAAUUAUUGGGCGUAAAGCGCGCGCAGGCGGUUCUUUAAGUCUGAUGUGAAAGCCCACGGCUCAACCGUGGAGGGUCAUUGGAAACCGGAGGACUUGAGUACAGAAGAGGAGAGUGGAAUUCCACGUGUAGCGGUGAAAUGCGUAGAUAUGUGGAGGAACACCAGUGGCGAAGGCGACUCUUUGGCCUAUAACUGACGCUGAGGCGCGAAAGCGUGGGGAGCAAACAGG
rnacentral:misc_RNA from 1 species